rnacentral:rRNA from 1 species
CCCGGGGGGGGGUGCUAUACAUGCAAGUCGAACGAACUCUGGUAUUGAUUGGUGCUUGCAUCAUGAUUUACAUUUGAGUGAGUGGCGAACUGGUGAGUAACACGUGGGAAACCUGCCCAGAAGCGGGGGAUAACACCUGGAAACAGAUGCUAAUACCGCAUAACAACUUGGACCGCAUGGUCCGAGUUUGAAAGAUGGCUUCGGCUAUCACUUUUGGAUGGUCCCGCGGCGUAUUAGCUAGAUGGUGGGGUAACGGCUCACCAUGGCAAUGAUACGUAGCCGACCUGAGAGGGUAAUCGGCCACAUUGGGACUGAGACACGGCCCAAACUCCUACGGGAGGCAGCAGUAGGGAAUCUUCCACAAUGGACGAAAGUCUGAUGGAGCAACGCCGCGUGAGUGAAGAAGGGUUUCGGCUCGUAAAACUCUGUUGUUAAAGAAGAACAUAUCUGAGAGUAACUGUUCAGGUAUUGACGGUAUUUAACCAGAAAGCCACGGCUAACUACGUGCCAGCAGCCGCGGUAAUACGUAGGUGGCAAGCGUUGUCCGGAUUUAUUGGGCGUAAAGCGAGCGCAGGCGGUUUUUUAAGUCUGAUGUGAAAGCCUUCGGCUCAACCGAAGAAGUGCAUCGGAAACUGGGAAACUUGAGUGCAGAAGAGGACAGUGGAACUCCAUGUGUAGCGGUGAAAUGCGUAGAUAUAUGGAAGAACACCAGUGGCGAAGGCGGCUGUCUGGUCUGUAACUGACGCUGAGGCUCGAAAGUAUGGGUAGCAAACAGGAUUAGAUACCCUGGUAGUCCAUACCGUAAACGAUGAAUGCUAAGUGUUGGAGGGUUUCCGCCCUUCAGUGCUGCAGCUAACGCAUUAAGCAUUCCGCCUGGGGAGUACGGCCGCAAGGCUGAAACUCAAAGGAAUUGACGGGGGCCCGCACAAGCGGUGGAGCAUGUGGUUUAAUUCGAAGCUACGCGAAGAACCUUACCAGGUCUUGACAUACUAUGCAAAUCUAAGAGAUUAGACGUUCCCUUCGGGGACAUGGAUACAGGUGGUGCAUGGUUGUCGUCAGCUCGUGUCGUGAGAUGUUGGGUUAAGUCCCGCAACGAGCGCAACCCUUAUUAUCAGUUGCCAGCAUUAAGUUGGGCACUCUGGUGAGACUGCCGGUGACAAACCGGAGGAAGGUGGGGAUGACGUCAAAUCAUCAUGCCCCUUAUGACCUGGGCUACACACGUGCUACAAUGGAUGGUACAACGAGUUGCGAACUCGCGAGAGUAAGCUAAUCUCUUAAAGCCAUUCUCAGUUCGGAUUGUAGGCUGCAACUCGCCUACAUGAAGUCGGAAUCGCUAGUAAUCGCGGAUCAGCAUGCCGCGGUGAAUACGUUCCCGGGCCUUGUACACACCGCCCGUCACACCAUGAGAGUUUGUAACACCCAAAGUCGGUGGGGUAACCUUUUAGGAACCAGCCGCCUAAGGUGGAACAAAGU